GGAGGACUUUGAGAUUUCAAACCAUUGAGCUUCUCUCUAUUUUGCUUCAAUACCAGAAAUUUUCUUUCCUUUCGAAUAAGCCCACAUAUGGUGAAGCUCUAGCUAUUGCCUAGUCUCUAAUUGAGUGAUUUAUCGAGUUCUGGGAUUUGCCCAAUCGAAGUAUGUGACCUUAAUUCCUAUACCACUCAGUCAUUUGAACAAAUUUAAAAGUUCAACCGUUGUACCGAGUCGGGGCCUCCAUCAUUCUCAAACACAUAAGUAGAAGAACCUUACUGUUCAAAACUCACAAUCAAGAUUGGUCAGAGGAACAACAAAAGCCCUAGAAUCAUAGUCCUCCACUUUAUUGAAUAGCAUUGUUCCAAUGGAGAAGGAUCAGAAGGUAGCAUCUGAAGACCCCAAGGUGGAUAUGUUCAAGGACGAUGACGAGUUUGAAUAGUUCAACAUCAAUCUAGGUAAUUUGGGGACAUGUUAUUAAUAAUCAGCAAUUAAAUGUUGUGGACUUUAUUCUGCUUCUUUUGAAUUGAAUGUAAUGUUAUACACGAUUGGAAUUUAGGAGCUGUACCGAUAUAUUGUAGCAUACACUAAAUUUAGUCCAGAUAUCUUCCACCUGACCUCCAUGUUUAAAUCUGCAUUUUAUAUCCCUCUGUACAUAUGGUUUCUAAUUAGAUUAAGCUCUAAUAUUGCCGUGUUGCUCUUGUCAAAAUUAAAUUGUUGGUCUAAAAUCAAUUGUGAUAAUAUAGGUUGCUUGAUUUCUGAUAUACUUCCCCAUGAAACUAGCAAGUUUAUGACUGAGCCCGUAAGUGGUAAACGUGAUGAGUUGAUAAUAUAGGUAUGCAAUUAAUCCUCCUGUUUUUUUUCCUCUCUCUAUGAUGUCUAUAAUUCUCACCUUUUGAAUGGAUUCUGUGAUCAGUUUGUUUUUUUAGAUUGAUUUGCCAAACGACUGUGGUCACUCAAUUCAACUUGGAACUAUGAUUUUUUUUUUUUGGGUGCUUCUGUGUAAUGAAUUUGAUUGUAGUGACACCUUCUAAUUAUGUUUUGCUUUUUGUUGCGAGGAUCAUGUGUGUUCUGUGAGACGUUGUGAGAAAUUCUAAAACUUUGAUGGGCGAUCUUAGGCCUUGGUCGCCUGAGCCAAACGGCGCUGUUUUGGAGGAGAGGCUGACCUCAUCUUCUUCAUCCGUGUUUUCAAUUUCAACAAAUCAGAGGGACGUUUCCGCCGAGUACUGGCGGAGAGCGGAGGUGGCAAUGCAGGGGGUUAUAGCUCAGAUCCAACGUACUCACGUCUCCAAGCGGAGAAGGAAAGACGCCAUUGAUUACGUUCAGAGGAUCAUUGGAGCUUGUAUUGGUUGUUAGGUGUUCCCGUUUGGAUCAGUACCUCUGAAGACGUAUCUGCCGGAUGGAGUGCUGUUCUUGAAAGGGAAGAUCACAAUAUGGCUGCUGAGUUUAUGGUGAAGGACAUGCAGUUAAUUCGGGCAAAGAAACACUUGAAUUUGCUUACUUCACUUUCAUCUAAGGUCGAAAAUCAGUAGCUACUUUAUGUCUACGCCUUGCUUCUCAUCAUGUUAGGAGAACAAAUGGGGAACUCUGAGAUUUCAAACCACUAACCUCUCUAUUUUGAUCAGUAUCAGAAACUUUCUUUUGGAUCAAGGGCUCAAGUGGACUGAAGAUUGGUCCUUUGGUACUUGCUGGGAGUUGCACAUCAAGGAUUCCAGGUUAAGCUUGUAAAGUGCCUUGUGCAAAAUAUUGUGGUUGAUAUAUCCUUCAAUCAGUUAGGAGGGCUACGUACGUUAUGCUUUCUUGAGCAGGUUGAUCGCCUCAUUGGCAAACAUCAUCUCUUUAAACGUAGUAUCAUACUGAUUAAGGCAUGGUGCUAUUGUGAGAGUCGAAUUCUCGGUGCCCAUCACGGUUUGAUAUCUACAUAUGGUUUGGUGACCUUAGUUCUUUUUAUCUACGUGUCAUUGUUUCAGGUGAAAGGAGAGUGAUACUAAGGGACCACAGUAUGCAAACAACACUUCAAAACUUGAAUCUGAUCUCUCAAGUCAGUGGAGAUCGCUCAUUCACAUGGAGGAUAUCUUUGUAAAUGAAGGCAAACACUUUCUUCCUUUAUCAAGUGUUGAACAAAUCGAAUAUGCUUGACAUAAUUGACUUCGUAGACCCUGCUCAGACUGGUGUCAUUGGCUAUGGAAAUCCGACUAAACGAGCUCGUUCUUUGUCAGCUUCUUAUUAAAGAGGGAAGCCUAGUCAGAUUUUUUGGGUGCCCUAUAACUCAGGGUAUGAAAGCUUGAUUCAUGCAUAUAUUUUGUUGGCUGCCCAGAUUAAUAGAUAU